rnacentral:rRNA from 1 species
UUGACAUGCAGAGAACUUUCCAGAGAUGGAUUGGUGCCUUCGGGAACGUCUGACACAGGUGCUGCAUGGCUGUCGUCAGCUCGUGUCGUGAGAUGUUGGGUUAAGUCCCGUAACGAGCGCAACCCUUGUCCUUAGUUACCAGCACGUUAUGGUGGGCACUCUAAGGAGACUGCCGGUGACAAACCGGAGGAAGGUGGGGAUGACAUCAAGUCAUCAUGGCCCUUACGGCCUGGGCUACACACGUGCUACAAUGGUCGGUACAAAGGGUUGCCAAGCCGCGAGGUGGAGCUAAUCCCAUAAAACCGAUCGUAGUCCGGAUCGCAGUCUGCAACUCGACUGCGUGAAGUCGGAAUCGCUAGUAAUCGUGAAUCAGAAUGUCACGGUGAAUACGUUCCCGGGCCUU